rnacentral:rRNA from 1 species
AUUGAACGCUAGCGGCAGGCCUAACCCAUGCAAGUCGAACGCGUGGCGGACGGGUGAGUAAUGUCUGGGAAACUGCCUGAUGGAGGGGGAUAACUACUGGAAACGGUAGCUAAUACCGCAUCCCAUCAGAUGUGCCCAGAUGGGAUUAGCUCGUUGGUGGGGUAACGGCUCACCAAGGCGACGAUCCCUAGCUGGUCUGAGAGGAUGACCAGCCAAACUGGAACUGAGACACGGUCCAGACGCCUACGGGAGGCAGCAGUGGGGAAUAUUGGACAAUGGGCGAAAGCCUGAUGAAGCCAUGCCGCGUGGAUGAAGAAGGCCUUCGGGUUGUAAAGUACUUUCAGCGGGGAAGCGGUACCCGAAGAAGAAGCAACGGCUAACUCCGUGCCAGCAGCCGCGGUAAUUC